UCAGAGGGCCGGGCGAUUGCGAGGAUUUAUUCUCGAGGAAAGUCCGGGCUCCGGUAAGGCAGGAUGCCGGUUAACGGCCGGCCAGCGUGAGCUGAGGGAAAGUGCCACAGAAAGUAAACCGCCCAUUUAUGGGUAAGGGUGAAAGGGUGCGGUAAGAGCGCACCGCGUUUUGGGUAACUAAAAUGGCAGGGUAAACCCCAUCCGGAGCAAGACCAAAUAGGGAUGGCAUAUGGCGCGCCUUAUCGCCGUCAUCCGGGUAGGUCGCAUGAGGCGACGGGUAACCGUCGUCCUAGAUGAAUAAUCGCCGCUGCUUGCAGUACAGAACCCGGCUUACUGGCCCUCUGCUUUU
rnacentral:RNase_P_RNA from 1 species